GGGGGACUGCCUGCUGGCCGGGCGCGGUCCGCAGUGCUGGCUCGACUCUUGCGACACCAGAAGGUCACACGCCUCACACCUCCACCCCCGCAGGCCUCGGCCCUUUGGCCCCUGGGCCUGGAGCCUCUCCUGACGGGUUAGCCUCACCCCGCGUCUAAUGCGGGCAGCUUCGUGGAAUGCAAACUCGCGUCGGAGAUCCUGACGGCCUGGCCCCUGCCUCUUUGGCGCCUUACCCUUUUGAAUCGGCUGGAGUUACCCCCUUUGCGUGGCCCUGAUUCCGGCUUCACUGAGAAAGUGAAAAACAUCCAACUCCAGCACCCUCUGCUACGCUUUUCAAAAUGGGGCACUGUAGAAGCCUUCAACCCAGCACCACAAACAGGCACAGACAAAAGCUCCAAGAAAAGCCCUAACCAACAAAUGGAAAAAAGAAUGGCCUAACGAUGAAAACUUUGUUGACAAUAUCCAUCCUACUCCAGCCAAACACAAAAAACUGCAUCCUCUCCCCCUAGCAUGGUAUCAGCAGAGCUGAGCAGGGACUUAAUUUUCCACUCAAUCCCCUUUAAUCCAUGGACAUGGAGGCAGCACUCCAAUUCCUCUGCAGGAUGGUUUUGGCAGGGCUGAGUCAGGAAGCUGAUCUUCCAUCUCCUGCCUGGCAAAAGCAGGUAGUGCUCCAAUUCCCCCAGCAAGUCAUAUCAAACACGUUGAGCAGGGAGCUGAGCUUACAGCCCCAUUAAGAGGCAACAAAACAGUGGGAGUUGGUGGCCCGAUUUCACUGGGAAGUUGUCAGUGGAGCAAGGGGAGUGCUGAACUUCCACCCCACCUAUCUGCAACAAGGCAGUGUGAGUCAGUGCUCCACUUUUGCCAAGGUGGUGUUAGCAGGGCUUAGAGAGAAACUAAACAUACAUACCCAGCCGCCCAUAUGCUAAAUAUCAACAGGGGACUGCCUGCUAAAGAAAAAGGAAAAAGAAGACGAAGAUGAAAUGUGAUCUAGAGCUUUGUUAAUAUGCUAUCAAGAAUGUCCACUAUACAAAUUUUUUAAAAUUACUCAUCCAACAACCAGGAAAAUCACAACAUGAAUGAGAAAAGACAGUCAAUAGAUGCUAACAAUGAGAUGAAUCAAAUGCUGGAAUUAUCUGAUAAUUAUGUUAAAGCUAUCAAGAAAAUAGUUCAAUCGUUUACAAACUUUCUUGAAACAAAUUAAAGACAAAUAAUUCAGCAAAGAUAUAGAAAUUAUUAAAAGAAUGAAAUGGAAAUGAUAGAACUGAAAAAUACGUAAGUAAAAUUAAAAAUUUGCUGUUUGGGCUCAAUAAUAGAGUGAAGAUAGCAGAGGAUAGGAUCAGUGAACUUGAGGAACAGACCAGUAGAACUUACCCACUCUGAACAACAGAGAGAAAAUAGUCUGGAAUAAAAUGGACAGAGUCUCAGUGACUGUGGGGUGUUUUGUUUUUUAAAGUAACAAUCAUAUCACUGUAGUCACAGAAGGAGAGCAGAAUGAGAGGAAGACUUAAAAAGUAUUCAAAGAAAUAAUAGCUGAA